CCUCACGGGGCUCCUCCUCUCAGCACGCUCCUCCCCUCCCUCAGCCACGUAGACAAGCAGUCCGUUUACUCCGCGGCAGCAGCUUGAGCUCCGGGGAAACUCGUUCGCUUCAUCGGCCCCUCGCUCUCCCCAGUCUCGGGCCUAGCACGCUUUCCCUUCCCCACCCCUGCCGUCCUGGUGGGGCUUCUCCUCUCACAGGGUCCUGAAGGCGGUCCCCAGCCGGUAUCUCCUACCCACACAGAUCUUUUCUCUUCGGGGCCUGGGGAGCAUCUGGGCUCCGCGGGUUCAAUUCCGAUCCGAUCAAGCUGGGCUUUGGGGGACAAGCUCCCUUCUGAAAAGUAGCCAGGGCCCCGGUGAGGAGGCAAAGUGAAGAGCUGUGCGGCCCUUGUCAUCAGCUGCACAGGGAUCCGUGCCAUCUUCCAGCAGCUGCUGCACUGACAUCGCCAAGACAGAGGGAGGGAGGGCGACAGAGAGGUAGCGUGAGUUACGCUGCAGCCCCCGGGGGUGAACACGGAUGCUCAGGGGAGCCUGCAGGUAAGGCACCCAUAAGCCGUGGGAGAGCGAGCUCCUCCUGGAUGCCGGCCUUACAGGAAUGUCAUGACAAGGGACUUACUCUCCUGAGGGCACAACUGGGAACCCCCGAUUCGGGCUGCUCAAACUACGUCUAGGGUUAGAACAUCACAGAAGGAUCUUGGCCCUCAGCGUCAGGAGUUCUCGAAUCACAGAAAUCCCCAGCACACAGACUUUGGCCCCCACAUCCAUUUGGAUACACACCCUUUCCAGUUGGACACAGCAGCCCAAGCUGCGGGGGCAGCGCUCACUUUGCUCCUGGGAGGUGGCCUUUUAGAGUGAGCGGCCAGAGCACAGGUUUGGAGCCACGAAGACUAAGUCCCAGGCUAAGCCGGGUAACGAAGAGAGGAGUACGUUGCCAACGGCACGGGGCAGUGGAAAGAGCGGGGCUCAGAGCAGGAAGGCCUGAAUCUGGGCCCCAAUUCACCGGCAAAUGGCAAUAAUCUCCGCCCUGCCAAUCUCCAGAGCUGCUGUAAUAACAAUAAUGGAUAUGAAAUUUCUUCGUUGCAAAGUAUGGAGCCAUUACAAAAUGUGACGCAUUAUGUGACACAUGUGUGUGUCCAGCUGAAAUGGAGAAAUUGCUGCCAAACAUCAUUUUAGAGCAACUGACGUUUUUAGUCUCCGCCAGCGAACCUCUCAAGGACUCCAGACGAAGCCCGGCAUCUCCUCCUCCUCCUUCACUUCAAGCCCAGGGAGCCACUCCAUCAUCCGCGGGUCCUCAGUGCCCAGUUCACCUCGCUGCUCUGACAUUAAAACGCCGCGCUGGUUUUGGAUAUCGUCCCCCUACGCCGAGCACCAGCCUGGCACCAGGUUUUUUGUGUCGUGCAUCUUACUUAAUACUUGGGAUCGAGACGGGAUUUGCGCAGCUCCAGGAUCGCUGUUGACUAACUGAAUGAAGGUGGCAGGAAAAGGGUUAGGAGAGUGGAAGAGAAGUAAGGACUUCAAGCCAUCUCAGUACAUUCACCAAAAGACAACCCGUAUCAAAGAGAUAAGACAAAGCUAAAAGAGUCCAUUCUCUUUCGUGAUUUGUGCAGCAGGACAUCAAUUUUAUGCCCACGGUAAUUGCUAAACUACAGCAAAAACCCAAUAAACAUGCGGAGAAGGAAAAGGAAAUGCUGACCAGAGAGAGAAAAGCAAUAAAGAGGCUAAUCCUACAGAGUCACCGUCGGAGCCUCGCGAGAGCCUGGUAAACCUAAGAGCCAUUUAGAUUUGAAGAUGAGUAUGUCAGAGACUCUGGAAAAUUACAGCAUUUCUCUCAGUAUAAUGAAACCACCAACCAUGUGAGUACCUGAUUCAAGAUGAACUAGGCUUUCUGUGGAAGGGAAACGUAAUUCAAAUAUUCUCUGGCCACACACUAGCGAUCUUAAAAAGAGAGCACAUCAUUUUUUCCUUGAAAAGCUAUCUGGGUUGCUGCUGAAAUAUUCCAAAAUAUCCAAGUUCAUGGAAAAGGGGACCAAAGCGAAGAGAGCUGAAAAGGCCUCCGGUUUCCAGGCCUGUUCACUAGGCUACGCCAGGGGUAAUGGAACCAUUUCAAGGCCCAUGGUUUAAAAAUUUUUUUUAAUGUUUUUAUUUCUUUUUGGGACAGAGAGAGACAGAGCAUGGGCCGGGGAGGGGCAGAGAGAGAGGGAGACACAGAAUCCGCAGCGGGCUCCAGGCUCCGAGCUGUCAGCACAGAGAGACAACAGCGUGAGGGUUCCGUCUACUGUCGCUGACCUUGAAGUUAGAGGGAGAAGACUCCAGGCCAAGGGAUGUGGGUGGCCCCUAUACGUUGAAAAGGCAGAGGGAGACCGAGUUUCCUCUGGAGCCUCCAGAAAGAAAUGUAGCCCUGCAGAUAUGCUGCUUUCAGCACGGUGAGAUCUGUGUUGGAUUUCUGACCCCCAGAAUUGUAUGCAAAGGAACUUGGGUUGGGGCGCCUGGAUGGCUCAGUCGACUUCCGCUCAGGUCAUGGUCUCGCGGUUUCUGAGUUCGACCCCCCCCUGUCGGGCUCUGCCCUGGGAUCCUCUCUCCCUCACUCUCUGCCCCUCCCCUCCCCAAGUAAAAUAACUUAAAAAAAAAAAAAAAGGAAAUUUGUGUUGUUUUAAAUCACUAUGUUUGUGGUAAUUUGUUGCAGCAGCCGUAGACAACGAAUAUAUGGAUAAAAUUUGAUUUUUUUUCCUCUAGAACUUGUCCUUCUACCUCUGAUGCUGCCACUGCCCUGUCGGCCAAUGAACGCUGGACAGCAACAAUAAAAAACCAGAGUGGUGGGGCCCCCGGGUGGCUCAGUCGGUUAACCGUCUGACUUCGGCUCAGGUCACGAUCUCACAGUUCGUGGGUUCGAGUCCCACGUCGGGCUCUGU